rnacentral:misc_RNA from 1 species
GAUGAAGAACGUAGCGAAAUGCGAUAAGCAAUGUGAAUUGCAGAAUUCAGUGAAUCAUCGAAUCUUUGAACGCACAUUGCGCCCGCUAGUAUUCUGGCGGGCAUGCCUGUUCGAGCGUCAUUUCAACCAUCAAGCCCUGUUUAGGCUUGUGUUGGGGCCCUGCGGUUGCCGCAGCCCCCUAAAUGCAGUGGCGGGCUCGUUGUCACUCCGAGCGCAGUAGCGUAUCUCGCUCUGGGCGUGGCGGCGGGUGCUAGCCGUGAAACACCCACUAAGGUUGACCUCGGAUCAGGUAGGAAUACCCGCUGAACUUAAGCAUAUCAAUAAGCGGAGGA